AGAUGGUUUCUGUCCUGAAGGGUUUUAAAAGUCGUAUACAAAAGACCUACAGGUGGUGGGCCUAACAAGUAUUUUUUCAAAGUUCCUUUAAUUUGAGAACUGCCACAUUACGCUGAAGGGAAGGAAGGAAGGAAGCUUUCCGAGUUUCAUGGAGUUUAAGGCUCCAGAAUCAAAGAUGGACUGACCGAAGACCCUAGAACUGUUUAGCUCUGAGGGCCGAUGAUGGAUAAGAGAGACAGAGGGGACAAAGAAGUCAGAGAGACAGAUCCAUGUUUGCAGAUGACACAAAAUCUGGCCAUAUUUUAUGCUGCGUGGACAGAAGCAUUAAAUUGCAAAGAGAUAUUAAUAGAUUGAGCAACUGGGUAAAACUGUGCCAAAUGGUUUUCAUCCUAGGCAAUGUAAGGUCAUCCACCUUGGACCAAAUAGGAAAGAACACAGGACCGUGAAAUGUUGAAAAGCCAGCAGUGGUGACCCAGAGGGAAUUGAGAACUUGUGUACAUAAAUUAUUAAUAUAUCACAGACAGAAAACAGUAGACUAAUGGAUUGUUGGCCUUUACAUAUAGAGGUUUGAACUUAAAGUAAUGCUAUGGCUAUUGAAAGUCCUAGCUAGAUCCCAUCUGCAGUACCACGAACAGCUCUGGAUACCAGACCUUGGGACAUGGAGAAAGGUAGGGGUGCCACUGAAAAAUUCCACUAUGUCAAAACAAAUUAUUUUACAGGAUUCUAACAACACAUCUACAUCAGACUAAAUGACACUGGCUCGCCACUUGGCUUUGGAACACCUGGACAAUAGCAGGACAUAUGUCAGGCUGGUGCUUAUUAAUUACAGCUCAACAUUCAACACCAUCUCCACAGUACUAAUCAGGAAGCUUCAAAACUUGGACCUCUGUAUCUCCAUCGGCAAAUGGAUCCUUGACUUCUUCUUCAGGAGACCAGAGUCAGUGCAGAUUGUAAAUAACAGCUUCUCAUCCUCAACACAAGGAAACAUGCUUAGCUCACAGCUCUACACACGAUUGCGUAGCUAGGCAUAGCUCAAAUGCCAUCUAUAAAUAUACCAAUGACACCAUUGUUGUUGGCGGAAUCUCAGAUAGCAACAAGGUGGUGUACAGGAGACACAGACCAGCUGGUUGGGUGUGUCGCAACAACCUUGCAUUUAACGUCAGCAUGGAAAUGAUUGCGGUCCUGGGAGGCGAAGUCGGAAGAACACACACCAAACCUGAUUUGAAGGGGCAGUGGUGGACAGGGUGAGCAGCUUCAAGUUCCUGGGUGUUAACAUCUCAGCUACCCUGUGCAUUAAUGUAAUCACAAAGAAGCCAUGUCACACUUCAUUAGGAGUUUGAGGAGAUUUGGUACAUCACUAAAGACUCCAUCAAGGGCACAAACAUCCCCACCAUCGAGGACUUCUUCAAAACGUGGUGCUUCGAAAAGGCGGCAUCCAUUAUCAGGGACCUUUAUUAUCCAGGUCAAUAGCUCAUCUCAUUACUACCAUUAAGGAGAGGUGUAGGACCCUAAAGAUCCAUACUCAAUAUUCCAGGAACAGUUCCUUUCCAUUUGAACAGUCCAUGAAUGCUACCUUGCCAUUUCUCUUUUGCUCUAUUUAUUUACUUAUUCUUUGUAACUUAUGAUUUUUAUGUCUUACACUGCAUUGCUGCUACAAAACAACAAACUUCACAACAUAUGUCAGUAAUAAUAAACCAGAUUCUGAUUUUGAAUGCACAAAAAUGAAUCUUUUGCAUAAGGGUCCACUGCAAAGAGAGAAGAGCUUUGAGCUUGACCACUAGAAGAACAGUUCAAGACUUGGCAGAAAGCAGGAGAAAACAGACACUUCACACACCAGCAGGAUGCAUGGGCUACAAUUAAGCAAUGGUAGCAAUUUUCAAAAUACAGAACACUAUAAUCUAUGACUGUCCAUAAACUGCUUAAAAAUGGCAACUGCUCAGACAAGAAGAGAAAAUUGCAAUGGACAAAGUUUAAGUAUGAAUUUCCCAGCUGAAAUAGAAAAUGCCAUCAACUACAUGGAGGUCACAGUGUUCAACAACCCAUGCACUGAACAGAAAAGGAAAAUUACUGCACAGAGUUCAAAAGCAUUAAGUAUUAAAGGAGGCUUUCCAGCCAAUGGCAUCUCUGCCAACUACCAAAGUGACUCAUGAGCUCCAUCCCAUAGCCCUUUUUCCACAGGCUUACAAAUCGUACUUCUUCAUAUAGUUAUCCAAUUCCUUCCUGAAGGUCCCAAUGGAAUCUGUCUCCACUACAGCUAAAGAUGACACUGUUAAUUCCGGCCACUUACGAUAGUCUCUUGUCCCAAGAACAAUUUCCCUCCCAAUUCACAACAUUGCUAAGUGUUCUGUCAUCCAUAAAUUUAGGAAUUGUAACUCAUACCAUGAAAUUGAAUUGACUUUAUUUCUUACAUCCUUCAUAGACAUGAGUAAAAAUCUUUACGCUACAUCUCCAAAACUUUAUAAUAAUUUAUAAUAAAUAGUAUGUACAACAGGACAGUCAAUAUAACAUAGAAAUACACUUGCUUCAGCAUGAAUUAAUCAGUCUGAUGGCCUGGUGGAAGAAGCUGUCUCAGAGCCUGUUGGUUCCGGCUUUUAUGCUGCAGUACCAUUUCCCUGAUGGUAGCAGCUGGAACAGUUUGUGGUUGGGGUGACUCGGGUCCCCAAUGAUCCUUCAGGCCCUUUUAACACACCUGUGUUUUGUAAAUAUCCUGAAUAGUGGGAAGUUCACUAAAAUAAAGAAAAAAAGCCACGGCUCCUAAAGCCAACCCUGGGAAACACUGCCAUUCAUCUCUGACAAGUCUGAAAGAUCAUUCCCCCUUCUGUUAAAAUAAAAUUCAUUCACACUGUUACUACUCACUACCCAUUAAGCCACUGGUAUUAGGGCAGCAAUGAAGAUCCUCCAUCUCUGGCUUCCUUCAUCGUGUUAGUAGCUUCCUCUCAGUUUUCACUACUGUCAGUCACACAAGUCCCAGAUGGAGACUUAGGAAUACCGUUGCACUCAGAUGUAGAAGGAUUCUUCAUUGCUGUUUCUGUAACAAUUUUGUUUUACUAGUCAGGGUUGUUAGCCCUGAGCCAAACCUCCGAACCUGGAGGACUGGUGGGUCACUCUUAGUCAAGCUUCUACCUUUUGACCUGUUUGGCAUGGGCGACCCUACCAAGAGCCAAAGCAUAAAGACCUGACUCAGCCAACAUAGCUCUCCGGGUCAACGAUGACAAGGUUGUGGUCCAAAUCAUUAAUGCCACUUCUAUCCUACAUACCUCACUCCACUGAUAGGCCUUUAUAUGGCACCUUAUGAAAAGUCUUCUGGAAGUACAUGUAACUGCAUCAGCUGCAUUACUCAACAAAAUAUUCUAUCAAAUUGGUUAAAUAUUAUCUUUCCUUAGUAAAUCUGCACUGGCUUCCCUGAAUUAAUUUAUCGUCCUUCGGCUGAAGGUUUAUCUCAUCCGAGAUCAAUGUUUUUAAAAGCCAUCCCAUGAGAGAGACAGGGAGAUGAGAGUUAAGUGACCAGUGAAAAUCUGACUGUUUACCGAGAUUCUGGAGCAAAACAUACUGUGUGUUCUUGUACUUCUGAAGCAAGUUCACAGAUCCUCUUUGGAAUACCACCAUCAGACAAGGAGAAAAUAAAUAUCAAGGAUUCCAAACAGCUCCACAUUGCUGAAGAAAAAGUCAAGGAGGAGCUCCUUCAUGACCAUCUAAAUUGUGGUAUUGGUUAUAAACGUGGGGCCACGGACACCAGAAGAAACCUCCUGCAAUUCUGUGAACAGUGCCAAGGGAUCUUUCUCAGCAAUCUGUGAGGAUGAAUGGGAUCUCUGUUCAAUGUUCUACCUUCCGAAAAGACAGCAUUUCCUACAGUCCAGCACUCACUCAAGAAUUAGCCAAGAAAUAUCUAAACACACAGUCCCUUUAAAUAUUGUAUUACAUUAUAAGAUUAAUGUAGUCUUAAAUUAUAAGACCACUAGGAUAAAGUUAGCAAACAAGAAAUGCCCAGAUUAUUGAUUGCCCUUUCUAAAAGAGAAAAUUCAUAGAAUUAAAAUAGUUGUGUUAAUGAACUGAGAUGGUGGAUUCUAUAAUAACUUGAAUCACUGAAGUAAUGGGCAGAGAAAAUUGAAAUAAUCAUCUAGUCUUAGAUGUUUAAUCUUUUAAAUAAUCUUAAAAGAUGAUCUAUUGACUUCAGCUCACUAUAGGACUGAGAAAUCAGCACUGGUGCAAUGACUUUCUCAACUUAUCAAAACUCAGAGGUACAUACUUGUGAAAUAGAGCACUGGACCUAGGCAUCUGAAAGCAGCCAGUGCAUCCCAGUUAUUGCUUUCCAAACAAAAAACUGACCUGACACAGAAGAAAAUUAAACCUCGUGAUAAAUACCAAAAUAGAUUGCAGUAACUUCAAAUGUACAGCUAAAAAGUUCUUCAGAAAUAACAUCUCUGCUGUAAUGACAAAACACGUUCCUUCACACAGCAAAAUAAUGAAAAGCAGAUUUAAAUAAAAAAUUUUGAUGGCGGGAUAGAUGCUAGACGCGUGGGUAAAUAAUGUGAUAAUUUAUUUGCUCUUCUCCAAUGGCAUCAUAGAAUCUUUUACAGACACUGAAGGAGUUGGGCAUUUGAUUUAUUGCUACAUCUGAAGGAUGGGGCUUAUUUAUGAGGAGAAAUGCAAAAACAGAAACAAUAGAGCUUGAUGAACAGCUUCUCUAUUUUGUCAACUUAUGGCAGAAGCACUGGAAAUGCUCUUGAUUUUUUUGUUAAAGCAGAAAAGAGCUGUGAAAUGUGGCAACCAAUAUUAAAAUAACACCACAUUAACUGUGUAAAUUUAAUGCUGUAAUGUGGAAUUUAAUAAAGUUUCAA